rnacentral:rRNA from 1 species
AUUGAACGCUGGCGGCAUGCCUUACACAUGCAAGUCGAACGGUAGAGUAGCAAUACUUGAGAGUGGCGAACGGGUGAGUAAUAUAUCGGAACGUGCCCAGUCGUGGGGGAUAACGUAGAGAAAUUUACGCUAAUACCGCAUACGAUCUAAGGAUGAAAGCGGGGGAUUCGCAAGAACCUCGCGCGAUUGGAGCGGCUGAUAUCAGAUUAGGUUGUUGGUGAGGUAAAAGACUCACCAAGCCGACGAUCUGUAGCUGGUCUGAGAGGACGACCAGCCACACUGGGACUGAGACACGGCCCAGACUCCUACGGGAGGCAGCAGUGGGGAAUUUUUGGACAAUGGGCGCAAGCCUGAUCCAGCAAUGCCGCGUGCAGGAUGAAGGCCU